rnacentral:rRNA from 1 species
CGGGGCGAGCUUGCCCAGCCCAGGUUUCGGGAAUUUAUAUUANACAUUGGGCGAGAGUAGUACUAGGAUGGUUGACCUCCUAGGAAGUCCUCGUGUUGCACCAC